rnacentral:misc_RNA from 1 species
UGAUAAUGCUUCUGAGCUGAAGAGAACUCUGUCUAUUGUUUACAAUAGACAGCGCCAAGCUAAGAUUACUGGAGAAAUCUUGGAGAUUGUUGCUGGUGCUAAUGCCUUGACUUAAUUUGGUGUUUGUGUAUAUCUCCCAUGUUUGCUUGCUUUUUCCCCUUCUUCCCUUUACAUACUUCAACCCAUGUUUCUAUAUUCAAUGAUAUCAUUCAA